rnacentral:rRNA from 1 species
CUACGGGCGGCAGCAGUGAGGAAUUUUGCGCAAUGGGGGAAACCCUGACGCAGCAACGCCGCGUGAGUGAUGAAGGCCUUCGGGUCGUAAAGCUCUGUCAAGUGGGAAGAACCUAUCGAUAUUGAAAAUAUAUUGAUACUGACGGUACCACAAGAGGAAGCACCGGCUAACUCCGUGCCAGCAGCCGCGGUAAUACGGGGGGUGCAAGCGUUAUUCGGAAUCAUUGGGCGUAAAGGGCGCGCAGGCGGCCUGGUAAGUCAGAUGUGAAAGCCCGGGGCUCAACCCCGGAAGUGCAUUUGAAACUAUGAGGCUUGAGUAUGGGAGAGGGAAGUGGAAUUCCUGGUGUAGCGGUGAAAUGCGUAGAUAUCAGGAGGAACACCGGUGGCGAAGGCGACUUCCUGGACCAAUACUGACGCUGAGGCGCGAAGGCGUGGGGAGCAAACAGGAUUAGAUACCCCGGUAGUC